rnacentral:pre_miRNA from 1 species
GGGGGGAGCGCCGGAUCCUGGGUUGUGUCCCCGGCACCCUGGGCUCUGGGGCCUGCACCACUGUAAUCGUCCUCUGGGGGGCCGGCAGCCCCCU